UGGCGGCAGGCCUAACACAUGCAAGUCGAGCGCACCUUCGGGUGAGCGGCGGACGGGUUAGUAACGCGUGGGAAUAUACCCAAAGGUACGGAAUAGCCUCGGGAAACUGAGAGUAAUACCGUAUGUGCCCUUCGGGGGAAAGAUUUAUCGCCUUUGGAUUAGCCCGCGUAAGAUUAGAUAGUUGGUGGGGUAAUGGCCUACCAAGUCUACGAUCUUUAGCUGGUUUGAGAGGAUGAUCAGCAACACUGGGACUGAGACACGGCCCAGACUCCUACGGGAGGCAGCAGUGGGGAAUCUUAGACAAUGGGCGCAAGCCUGAUCUAGCCAUGCCGCGUGAGUGACGAAGGCCUUAGGGUCGUAAAGCUCUUUCGCCAGAGAUGAUAAUGACAGUAUCUGGUAAAGAAACCCCGGCUAACUCCGUGCCAGCAGCCGCGGUAAUACGGAGGGGGUUAGCGUUGUUCGGAAUUACUGGGCGUAAAGCGUACGUAGGCGGAUUAAUCAGUCAGAGGUGAAAUCCCAGGGCUCAACCCUGGAACUGCCUUUGAUACUGUUAGUCUUGAGUUCGAGAGAGGUGAGUGGAAUUCCAAGUGUAGAGGUGAAAUUCGUAGAUAUUUGGAGGAACACCAGUGGCGAAGGCGGCUCACUGGCUCGAUACUGACGCUGAGGUACGAAAGUGUGGGGAGCAAACAGGAUUAGAUACCCUGGUAGUCCACACCGUAAACGAUGAAUGCCAGACGUCGGGGGGCUUGCCCUUCGGUGUCACACCUAACGGAUUAAGC
rnacentral:rRNA from 1 species